rnacentral:rRNA from 1 species
AUUGAACGCUGGCGGCAUGCCUUACACAUGCAAGUCGAACGGCAGCACGGGAGCAAUCCUGGUGGCGGGUGGCGAACGGGUGAGUAAGUAUCGGAACGUGCCCAGUCGUGGGGGAUAACGUAGCGAAAGUUACGCUAAUACCGCAUACGAUCUAUGGAUGAAAGCGGGGGAUCGCAAGACCUCGCGCGAUUGGAGCGGCCGAUAUCAGAUUAGGUAGUUGGUGGGGUAAAGGCCCACCAAGCCGACGAUCUGUAGCUGGUCUGAGAGGACGACCAGCCACACUGGGACUGAGACACGGCCCAGACUCCUACGGGAGGCAGCAGUGGGGAAUUUUGGACAAUGGGCGAAAGCCUGAUCCAGCCAUGCCGCGUGCAGGAUGAAGGCCUUCGGGUUGUAAACUGCUUUUGUACGGAACGAAAAGGACUGCCCUAAUACGGUGGUCCCAUGACGGUACCGUAAGAAUAAGCACCGGCUAACUACGUGCCAGCCGCCGCGGUAACAC